rnacentral:rRNA from 1 species
UACAGAGGUCUCAAGCGUUGUUCGGAUUCAUUGGGCGUAAAGGGUGCGUAGGCGGCGCGGUAAGUCGGGUGUGAAAUUCGAGGACUUAACUCCGAAACUGCAUUCGAUACUGCCGUGCUUGAGGACUGGAGAGGAGACUGGAAUUUACGGUGUAGCGGUGAAAUGCGUAGAUAUCGUAAGGAAGACCAGUGGCGAAGGCGGGUCUCUGGACAACUCCUGACACUGAGGCACGAAAGCUAGGGGAGCAAACAGG